rnacentral:rRNA from 1 species
GACGAACGCUGGCGGCGUGCUUAACACAUGCAAGUCGAACGGUGAAGCGCCUUCCUUUUUGGUGGGUGUGGAUGAGUGGCGAACGGGUGAGUAACACGUGAGUAACCUGCCCCCUUCUUCUGGAUAACCGCAUGAAAGUGUGGCUAAUACGGGAUAUUCUGGGUCUGUCGCAUGAUGGGUCUGGGAAAGAUAUUGUUUCGGUGGGGGAUGGGCUCGCGGCCUAUCAGCUUGUUGGGGGGGUGAUGGCCUACCAAGGCGGUGACGGGUAGCCGGCCGGAGAGGGUGGACGGUCACACUGGGAAUGAGACACGGCCCAGACUCCUACGGGAGGCAGCAGUGGGGAAUAUUGCACAAUGGGCGCAAGCCUGAUGCAGCGACGCCGCGGGGGGGAUGGAGGCCUUCGGGUUGUGAACCUCUUUCGCCAGUGAAGCAGGCCUGCCUCGUUUGUGGGUGGGUUGACGGUAGCUGGAUAAGAAGCGCCGGCUAACUACGUG